GGUGUUUUAUCUUCUAGAGAAUGGAGCCAAGUUAGAUGUGAGGGACAAGAAUGGCAACCUACCAAUCCAAUAUGCCAAGGACGAAGUUGUCAAACAGAUGAUUUUGUCGAGAUUACCUUCUUUAGAGGAGAUCCAGUCUUAUCGAGG